rnacentral:lncRNA from 1 species
AUCUCCAACAUAAGAAGGCAGGACUUGCUUCUGUGAGGUACUGAGCCACCCGUCCCUGGAGGAAAGCAAGAACAGAGCAGAUCAGAGCCCAGGCAGACAUCUUGGAUGAUGGGGUACAUCUUGCCAUCCAGAGGCAAUGCUGGAGCGGGCAGUUGUCUGCGGGGAGGCCCUGGCUCACUCUGGGCCAAAUAACAGGACUGAUUGCAGCCUGCGAUGAAACAUCCUGUUUCUCCCAACCAGAAACAGGUAGAGGAGCUGCUUUAGGAUGGAAGAUGAGGCUUGCUUUUUCUUUCUCCUAGAAGUCAGCAUUUUACAUGAUUCUGGGAGGGAAGAAAGGAGACAGGAACCAAGGAGCCUGAGUGGGGAUUUGCCCACCACUGGGCAGCCAGGCUCCCGUCAGGAAGGCUUUUCAGAGGGAGUGUUGGAAGGAGUCGUCGAGGAGUCUUCCUCACCCAGGAAGUCUUCCUCACCGGGUGAGCCCCAACCUGCUGGACCUGCUCAGAAUUUGCCCAACAGGGGAUCCUGGUUGACUGAGGUCUGCUAAUUCCAACUGGCCUACGCUAAAUUCUCCCAGAAUGUCUUCAUCAUCAAUGAAUCGCUUUCCACUGACACGACGCCUGGAAGAACAUAAACACUGUGAGGAUAAAUGCCAAUGAAAUAAUAAUAAAAUAAACUUUCUUUGGUGGCCAGAGGGAAA